UCCUACGGGGGGCAGCAGUAGGGAAUUUUGCGCAAUGGACGAAAGUCUGACGCAGCAACGCCGCGUGAGGGAUGAAGGCCUUCGGGUUGUAAACCUCUGUUGGACAGGAAAAAAAGGUAGCAAUACUUUGAUGGUACUGUUUGAGGAAGCACCGGCUAACUACGUGCCAGCAGCCGCGGUAAUACGUAGGGUGCAAGCGUUGUUCGGAAUCACUGGGCGUAAAGAGAGCGUAGGCGGGAUCGUAAGUUAGAAGUUUAAUACAUGGGCUUAACCCGUGGUCGGCUUUUAAUACUGCGGUUCUUGAGUAUGGGAGAGGGCGAUGGAAUUCCAGGUGUAGCGGUGGAAUGCGUAGAUAUCUGGAAGAACACCAGUAGCGAAGGCGGUCGCCUGGCCUAAUACUGACGCUGAGGCUCGAAAGCUAGGGGAGCAAACAGGAUUAGAUACCCCGGU
rnacentral:rRNA from 1 species